GAUGAACGCUGGCGGCGUGCCUAACACAUGCAAGUCGAACGGACAGGCCCUGCUCUUGUGGCGUGCACGAGUGGCGAACGCGUGAGUAACACGCGAGUAAAACGUCCUUGUCAUUGGGAUAUCACCAGGAAACUGGGGAUCAUACCGGAUAGGAGCUACUGCAGCACGGUGGGGGUUGGAAAGUUUCGGCGGUUGGGGAUGGACUCGCGGCUUAUCAGCUUGAUGGUGGGGUAGUGGCUUACCAAGGCUAUGACGGGUAGCCGGCCUGAGAGGGUGACCGGCCACAUUGGGACUGAGAUACGGCCCAGACUCCUACGGGAGGCAGCAGUGGGGAAUAUUGCACAAUGGGCGGAAGCCUGAUGCAGCAACGCCGCGUGCGGGAUGACGGCCUUCGGGUUGUAAACCGCUUUCGCCUGUGACGAAGCGUGAGUGACGGUAAUGGGUAAAGAAGCACCGGCUAACUACGUG
rnacentral:rRNA from 1 species